rnacentral:lncRNA from 1 species
UUCCGGUUCUAUAUGUUAAUAGGUUUUACAUAGUUACCCCUCCCCCAGCUCUUUGUUGCCUUUCUGUGUCUCAUUCUAUUCUAACUCAUGUUUAUCUUUUAGUUCAACUCUUUGUAACAUCCCUGCAUAUCAGGAAUCUUGUCUUAUUGGUGUCUACAGAGCUCUAGGGGCCACUGAAGAAAAUGUCUCUGGUGGACUCUGGCAACCUUCAGCUGAAAUUUCUAUCCAAGAGACAGAUGUCCUAUCUUCCUCUGAGAGGGAAGAAAUAGGAAACAAAGCCUAUGUGUUUCCCAUUUCAACUGCAAACUGAAGACAUACUGACAUCACUCCAUCUCUUUUCCAAUUUUCCAGGUGAGAGAAUCUGAUUGGUCUGCUUCAGUUAGAGACUCACCUCUGAUCAAAUAAACUGUAUCCCUA